rnacentral:lncRNA from 1 species
GUCAUCUGUUCCCUCCUCUCUCAAAUGCUCUCUACCUAAACCUUAAUCUUCAGGCGUUGUCACCGGCUUAGCCCUCCGUUCUACAAUGUUUCUGUUUUUACCUCAGGUCUUUAAUGGCCUCUUCUAUACUAUGGUACCUCCAUCUCCAAGAUCAUUGAGGAGAUACGAGGGACCUAGGUGGUUUAUUUACACCUUUGGGUUUUUCUUUUCUGUUUCAGGCUACUUGGUUGACCUUGAGUAAGAUCUUUCUCAUUUUUAUCUUGAAUCCAUGAUUUUCUAAGUCUAUGCUCGUCUCUGUUGACUUUAUAGAAAAAAUCUAAUUUUUAUCCUUUGAUCUUCUUAGAUAUGUCCAUAUCUGAGAUGAAUCAAACCUAUUUCACACGUUUUCAUGAAGGUCUUAUGAGGUUUUUAAUGGAUUCUCCAUUUUUCCAAAAAAAUCUAGGGUUUACUGAACUCAUCUUUUCAAAGCCUUUCUGAUUUUCAAGUGUUUAAUCGUGGUUCUUAAGUGUUGCUGACGGAUUCAUGUUAAUAUUAUUUUGACCUUAGUCGAUUUAUGCUAAAGCCCCAGUUUUUUUAUAAUUUUUCUUCAUUCCUGGGGUUUUUCAUGUAACUCGUUGCAUUGUUACACUUUGUGCUUUAACUUUCAUAAUUUUCCUUAGUUUAAUUCAGUAUUUUGUGACUUUUACCCUAGUUCAUCUUUACUAUGGUUUUAGAGUAUAUCUCCUGGCUAAUUUCUGUGUGUUUAUGAAGUUUUAUUUAGCCUACUCGUCUAUUUGUGGAAACUGAUUUUUCCCUCUCUUUAAAUCAAUACUAUUUUGGAUUUUGAUUUAUUAAUUUUCUUGGUUAAAAAUUAUGUGUUGAUUCUUAAUUUAUUCCCUUGUUUACGACUUUAAUUAUUCUUAUUACCUAAUUGCCUAUAAUAUGACUGAUUCUUCACGAUCAUUUCUUUAAUUAAACUCAUGUUUGUUUACCUCUUUACUUAGGUAUUAUUUGAUUUUUUUGCCUUAAGUGACUCUUGUCCUUUAACCGUUGAGUAGUUGUCCUUAAUUAAAGGAAGACUAUGAUGAUUUGGUGUGUGAUUAAUCUUGUAAUUUCCCUAAUUGCUGAGUUUUGAUUUUUUUUUACCUUAUUUUGCUCAGCUCCUAAACUGCUAUAUAUACUCUCCUCUAUUCUCAGUUCAACAGAGGAACAUUGGUUCACAAAAUACUCUCACACUCUCAAAAGCUCUCUACUCUUCUCUGUUACUUCCAUUUCUCACUAACCUAGCCGGCUGUAAGCCAAGGCUAGCUAUCUGCACCAUAUCUGCUCUAUAUGGUGUAUUCUCUCUCUUUAACUGGUAUGUCCUGAUUCAAUUCAAAGUUCAAAACUCUAUGUGCUUCAUUGUUGUUCCAAUUCAUUAGCUGUGACUUUCAAUCCUGUUUAUUGAUUACUAUCAUGUUUCUCAAUGUGUAACCAACAUGCCUAGAUCACACUACCUAACUACUAUCUCACUUAUCAUGUUGGAGUUUUAUUCUGUUAGAAUCUGUGACUAGUUUAUUUACCCAUAAUGAUCUGCUUAUUGUUUUGUUUAGCAUUGCCCAAUCAUGUCCUUUGGUAAUUACAUGCAUCUUAUUUGCUCUUUAGCAUGUCCAAACUACAUUGCUUGUCUACUGUCUCACCUAACAUACCUGAACUCUGCUUGUUCUAUAUGUGAUUAGUAUCUCUAAACUAUGAGUGUUUGUAUGGUGCGUGCCUAGUCUGUUCAUUUAAGUCUUGCCUACUUUGCUUUACUAAUGAGAUCUUGCUAAGUCAUCUAGGCCUUCAAGGUAACUCUAGUUCAGUGUUUAGUCAUGUCCAAGGUCUAUGCGUUCUCAACAUGUCUUUGCUAUAAUCUUUGUAAUUAACUUAUCAAUUCUACAAAUUUUUGAGAAGUCUGUGCACCUAUUUUGCUUGUACACUAAGGUGUAUUCUAUGCAUCCCCAAUCCCUCUCUCCUUGUGCAGAACCUACUUGCCAAGUGUUUCUGAAUAUGGUUGUUCUGUAAUUUGUGUUUUGAUUUCAAAGUGUUUUCAUACUUUUCUCAAGCUGUUUUACCACCAAAUUAAUACUGGUUUUCAGAAAAUCUUUUCACCUCUAAGAGUCCUUUCUAUACUGUUUACCAAAAUUCUUUCAAAUAAUGUCAAGCACUCUCACUUAUUCUUAGGUUGUUAAGUCCUGCCCCUGUGGUAUGUGUACUGCUUAGAGGUCCCUGAGAUCUCUAUGAACUCUGACAUAUUAGGUCUGGCUAUUCCACAAAGUACGUAAUCAGUCUUUAUUUGAGAAAGUCGGGGUGUGAGCACUACCCAUGAUCUUUGAAGUCCUUAGGAAACUCUGACACACCCGGACACAAAUGUGACAAUGCAUCUUAGGCAUUUGAGACUAGUGAAGGCCUGGUACACCAAGAUAUGCUUUGGGCCUAAUUGAGGCUCCCUAUAGCUUAAUUUAUAUUUUAUUUAUGUAAUUUAUUCAUCAUUGGUAUGUAAUAAUUAACCGUAAACAGAUAUUGGGUGACUAGUGAAACGGGAAGGUAGUUGUAUGAUACUGUGGGUAAAACUGGGUAAAAACAUGCUAUAGGUUUUAUAUCCUUCAAAUCCGUAUUAGAAUCCAUGUUCUAGGUUGGAUGUGCAUUAGCAUUUAAACCUUAUUAAACAUGUGCAUUAGAUAUCCUGCUUUUAGGGCCUUCACAUUUACUGUUUUAG